AUUGAACGCUGGCGGCAGGCCUAACACAUGCAAGUCGAGCGGCAGCGGGAAAGUAGCUUGCUACUUUUGCCGGCGAGCGGCGGACGGGUGAGUAAUGCCUGGGAAAUUGCCCAGUCGAGGGGGAUAACAGUUGGAAACGACUGCUAAUACCGCAUACGCCCUACGGGGGAAAGCAGGGGACCUUCGGGCCUUGCGCGAUUGGAUAUGCCCAGGUGGGAUUAGCUAGUUGGCGAGGUAAUGGCUCACCAAGGCGACGAUCCCUAGCUGGUCUGAGAGGAUGAUCAGCCACACUGGAACUGAGACACGGUCCAGACUCCUACGGGAGGCAGCAGUGGGGAAUAUUGCACAAUGGGGGAAACCCCGAUGCAGCCAUGCCGCGUGUGUGAAGAAGGCCUUCGGGUUGUAAAGCACUUUCAGCGAGGAGGAAAGGUCAGUAGCUAAUAUCUGCUGGCUGUGACGUUACUCGCAGAAGAAGCACCGGCUAACUCCGUGCCAGCAGCCGCAGUAACAC
rnacentral:rRNA from 1 species